GCGUAUUUGAUUGGAAAAAGUGGUCGCAAUUUAUCAGAGACUGAAGUCAUUGAUUUUAUAUCAAAACAUGUAGCGCCAUACAAGAGAAUUCGGAAAGUGGCAUUUGUAACUUCAAUACCCAAGAACCCAUCUGGGAAGAUUCUUAGGAGGGAGCUCAUCAAGCUUGCCAUUUCCAGGAUCUGAGACCAUCACAUCAAACACCUCAAUAAUUAUAAAUAUAUGCAUUUUCAAGGCAAAGUUUCUGGUUUAUGGGAAUCUUUCAUUUCCCUCGUUGGGUAUGAAUUUUAUGUGUAACAUUAUUGACAUUUCUCUAAUUACUUUACCUUAUAAUAAUGUUCUCGACUUUUGUACUUAUAUAUUAAAACUCAAAAUAUAUCAUUUUUAUUAA